UACGUAGGGUGCAAGCGUUGUCCGGAAUUAUUGGGCGUAAAGAGCUCGUAGGCGGUCUGUCGCGUCUGCUGUGAAAACUCGGGGCUUAACCCCGGGCCUGCAGUGGGUACGGGCAGACUAGAGUGCGGUAGGGGAGACUGGAAUUCCUGGUGUAGCGGUGAAAUGCGCAGAUAUCAGGAGGAACACCGGUGGCGAAGGCGGGUCUCCUGGGCAGUAACUGACGCUGGAGGAGCGGAAAGCGUCGGGGA
rnacentral:rRNA from 1 species